rnacentral:tRNA from 1 species
GUGGUUAGUGCUCAGUUGGUUAGAGCGCUGCACCGGAAUCGCAGGGCCGCAUGUUCGAUUCCUGCAUGCCAUG